UGUGAGCCCAAGAGGAUUGGAUGUCAAUGGUUAAAUAUUUUUACAAUUUUUUUAGGAAAAAAAAUUCUGUUUACAAUUCUCGAAAAAAAAGAAAAAGAAAACUCAGCGAUUUAAACCCGCACAUACAUCGGUGUGUUGCGGUGAGAGCCGGAAUAUACCCGGUUGCUCCCCCUUGGAUCCUUGUUUGCUUCCUGCUGCCUGGCCUU
rfam:Zea mays cultivar B73 chromosome 10, whole genome shotgun sequence.